rnacentral:rRNA from 1 species
UACGAAGGGGGCUAGCGUUGCUCGGAAUUACUGGGCGUAAAGCGCACGUAGGCGGCUUGUUAAGUCAGGGGUGAAAUCCUGGAGCUCAACUCCAGAACUGCCUUUGAUACUGGCGAGCUUGAGUUCGGGAGAGGUGAGUGGAACUGCGAGUGUAGAGGUGAAAUUCGUAGAUAUUCGCAAGAACACCAGUGGCGAAGGCGGCUCACUGGCCCGGUACUGACGCUGAGGCACGAAAGCGUGGGGAGCAAACAGG